CCUGCGUCCGGAGCGGCGGGACUUCCUUAGUCCGUCCUGGGAAUCCGUGCUUCUGGACCUGGCUGUAAGCAGGAAAAAGAGGGGCGGGGAGCGGCGCAGGCGUCUCACAAAGAACAGCCCAAACUACCCUGAACCCCGUGUUGAUGAAAACCUCAAAUCGCGGCUGGAGUUGGAAACUUCUUGGCGAGCUUUCGGGCCCUGGUGAUGUCUGACCAAGUCUGUUUCUCAUGGUGAACCGGGAGUUAUCUGGUCCUCCUAGAUAAGGAGUCCUUUCACGAGGAGGAAGUGGUCUGUACAGAACACGGCCAGAGCCAGAACCCAAGCAAUUUUCAUUAGAAGGUAACUCGGUACUUCACAUCCAGGCUUUUCACCUUUAGUACCUACAGCUUAGUGAUGAUUCUUUGUGGUCAGUUGACUGAGGACAAAAUUCAAAGCUGGAUUACAGAGGGCUUUGCUCAAUACACUGACCAGUUGGCAAAUGACUUCUUUGGCAUUUCGAGUCCCAUUUAACAGAGGCCCUCAGGGAACAGAAAGAAGAUUCUCCUAGAGGGCAGAACAUUAUCUUAUACUCUUUGGAAGGAGAUAUAGCUUGAGAUAAAGAUCUACAUCACUUCAUGGGCACUGGUUUAGUCAAGUGGUCAGGAAGUGGGAACAUGCAGAGGUUUGGAAACAUUUUCUGGAAUAGGACCUGUCCAAAAACCCAAAGCAUAAGAACCUUUGGGUCCCACUGAAUGCUCAAAAAAAAAAAAAAAAAAAGUUCCCAUUGCCAAAAGGCUUUUCAUCAGAACAAGAUUAUGAUAUGUUAUCUAUUUCUGCCUAACAUAUUACACCAAAAUUUUGUGGCUUAAAACGGUAAACAUCUGUUCUCUCACAGUUUUUGUGGGUCAGGAACCCAGGAGCCAGCAUGCCUCUGGCUCUAGGUUUUUCAAGAAUUCCAGGCUCGCUAUGGAGGCAUGAGAAGGCAGGCUCUGCUUCUGAACUCACAUACGUGAUUUUUGGCAGGAGUUAGUUCCUUGCGGGCUUUGGGACUGAAAGCCUUCCUCAGUUCCGUGCUACAUGGGCUUCUCCAAAGGUCAUCUCACAACAUGGCAGCUGGAUUUCCACAGAAUGAACAAACAAGAGAAAAGGGAGACUGAUGGAACAAGAUGGAAGCCACCUUCUGUAAUCUAACCUCAGAAAUGACAUCCCAUGGCUUUUGCUGAAUUCUCUCAUUAGAAGUGAAGCAGCAGUUACAAAGGGGUGAAUACCAGCUGGGGGGGGGGGUCGUUGAAGGCCUUUUUAGAUGUUGCCUACCACAGUGACCCACUCUGUAGUCAGCAUUCUCUCCUCACCACGGCUGUUGCUCAGUGCCCCCAGUAACAAGGCAGCCAUGGCAACGUAGAGACAUGCAAGUAUGUCUAACAUAGUCUGUUCCCUGCCAAGACUAACAGGAUAGCACCACUACUUGCAGUAACCAACCUGAUCCCCUGACGUAGUUUAGUACAGCCCGGGUGGUAGGUUUGAUUACAAGGGAACCCUACCAUAAUGAAGGAGGCAGUGAUUUGUUCUAUAAGAGCAGACAGUUAUUCUGGGUUUGGAUUGCCUUCCCUGACUUGUGCUUCUUUUAUACCCUUCACCUGUGGUUGUACUGAGUCCCUUAUCUCCCAUACACUUGAUGUAUCAUCAUCCCAUACAACAUUGCUUCUUACCAAAGAACCCACGGAUGCCUGUGUGUACUGAUGCCUGUGGGAUUAACCAGUCUUAUCACAUAUCCCAUCAGACCAGAAGCAACUGGUCUUACAGGACAGCUCUGCUGAAGAUUUACUUUUGGAGCCAGGUGAGAAAAUAUUCUUUGGGAUGCUGUCCUGAAGAAUUUGACAUAUACUCCAAAUGAGUUAACAGUAUUCAGUGAUAACUCUUCUGUUGACAGAAUAACAGGGUCCAGAGAUUAGAAGAGGGAUUGACACCUUGUUGUUACGUCUGACAUUGACAGCUUGCUGUUACCCUGCCCACAUGUUUUGCUUUCCAUUGUGGGGAGAGAUGGUCUACCCUGGGUCCUGAGCAUCCCUGCAUAUUAUUGCUGAGUGUGCCAACUGCAACUCAUUUCCUAAUACUGAGCAGAGACUGUAGCUAGACAUAUGGACAUCUUAGGAGGUCAAGGCAUCAGCACCAUUUAACUGCUGCUCUCCUGGGGGAAUGAGCUGGCUUGUUUGCUGCUUGUUUUCUGCUUGUUCAAAUACGGCUUGGCUCUUGGACCUGGAUUCUUCUCCUGUAAUUCAACCCAAAAGGGUUGGCCCUGAGUCGUGUGUACAAGUGUCACCUGGCACUCAGCAUUGCUAUGGGAAUCGGGGCUCUGGGAACUGGUGCAAAUAUGCUGACACUUUGGCUGCUACUGCUUUGUUGUAAUAAAGUCUCUUGCCUCUGA